rnacentral:lncRNA from 1 species
AUUCUCGGGUGUUGGUAGAUCUCUCUGCAUCCCGGGCGCGGCUGGGUUGAGUGUUCUCUUAGGAAUGGUGGAGAACUGGGUCCUUGAGGAGUCACCGGGGAGACUGCUCGCACUGUUUGUGGUGCGACGGGCACUGGCCCAGGGACAGAGGGAAGAGAAGGGCCAGCCAGCGGCAGUGGAGUCGGCAGGCUGGCUGCCCACUCGCUUUCUCUCCUCACAAGACUCGCUUCCCCGGCCUUCGAGGAUCUCGAACGGACUAUAGUCUGGACUCGCUGGGCUGGAGGAAACUUGGCCGCUGGCCACCCGGAGGAGACUGAGAAGCCUUUGGUCAACAGGGCGCCUUUCCUUGAACCAAAACAAAACUUUCCGAAGCCGGAAAGGAAACGCCCAGUGUCGCCUGAGAGCCCUGGAGCUGCGCGAGACCCAGGCACUGAGUGCGGCCUCGGCCUCUGACCUCUAACACGCCGGGAACAAACCAGCUGGGGCGGCCCGCAGGCCUGCGGGAGCGGAAUGUGACCCGAAACCGACGGACUUCCUGACCCAUAGUCCAUAGUUCUCUUCAGCAACUUGAACAUUUUGGAAAAAGAAACAAGUCUUAACAUGCCACGACCUAAUGGAAAAACUAAAUCCCCUUCCUACACCUUGCUUUCCAAAAGUUAAAAAAAAAUAGUUAAACGCUAUUAGAGGUCUCAAGUUCACUGUCACCAGAUCAGCUAGGUCCAGAAUCUUCAGUUCUUGAAGCCAAGCCCUACAAAUAGAUUUAUUGUAGCAUAUCACACCUCUUCAGGUGACUUAAAACAAUGAGAAUUCAUGAGAAAUUAUCUUCAUCCUCAAGUAAAAAUCAUGAGGUGCCUUUCACAUGGAUGAAAUUGCCCUGCUGUCUCAUGUUUCGUCAACAGGAAGAAAAAUACGUCUUCAAGUUUGUUUUGUUUGUUUGAGAUGGAAUCUCGCUAUGUCGCCCAGGCUGGAGGUGCAGUGGCGCGAUCUCGGCUCACUGCAACCUCCGCCUCCUGGAUUCAAGCGAUUCUCCUGCCUCAGCCUCCCGAGUAGCUGGGACUACAGACGCCCGCCACCAUGCCCGGCUAAUUUUUUUGUAUUUUUAGUAGAGACGGGGUUUCACUGUGUUAGCCAGGAUGGUCUGGAUCUCCUGACCUCAUGAUCCGCCUGCCUUGGUCUUCCAAAGUGCUGGGAUUACAGGCAUGAGCCACCGCACUCGGCUGUCUUCAUGUUUUAUCUUAUCUUCCCUGACGCCUAUAUUUCUGAUUUGUGUUCUUUUAAUUCAUGACAAUUUGUUUAGUCUCAACUUUUAUUUGCUCUAUGUGGAAUUUGGAGAAGGAAUGGCAAAGCGGAAGUCCUUCUCCUAUUUGAUGUCUUAACUUGUUUUUACUGGAAGUCACUUCCUCUUUUGUCUCAGAGGCUGAUUCGCCUCCCAUAACCAGUGAUUUUCCUGUAAGCUCAUUAUCCUGGAUGAUGGCUUGACUAACCAAGGCUACUGGCUGCUGAGGGGUUUCUGAGGAAACUUUGGUAGCCUGAUUGAGGCCAUCUGCCUCUCCACCUGCACUGUAGUUGUGGAGUACACCACUCUGUUCAUGGAGGCCAUGCACACUGGCCAGAGAAGAGCAGCCCAUGUGCAAAAGGAUCCAAGUAAGCAUUUUCCAUUCUCACAGGUCAAAUAAGAGGACUUCCCACAUUUAUUCAGAAGGUAGUUGAAAGUGGUCAGCCCCAGAUCUCCCCUAUGUGACUCUUUGGUUGAUGCUACUUGUACCUCAACACUUGGAAGGCCCGUUCUGGACAGGAGCAACUUUCACUUUACUCUGGAAACGUGGGCAGGUGGGCACAGAAUAGAGUGAAUCUGAGGCAGAAACUCCUUCAGGCUAACUUUGUGACGGACACUGUUCUAAGUCUUCAGGUGAGUUAACUCAUUUAGUCUUCAAGACAAUCCUCUGAAGUAGGUAUUUUUAUCAUCCUCAGUUUACAGACACAGAAACUGAGACACAGAAAGGCCAUUCAGCCACUCAGUGGUUGAGGCAGGACUGACACUCAAGAAGUCUUGUGACAGUUGUAAUGAGUUAGUCGUGAUGGUGGCUACCAGGUAGGUGUGUGGAUAGAUAUGUAGUGGCCUCUCCUCCGAUGGAAAACUCCCAAAGCACUGAAACAGUCUGGUAGCUGUAGUUGCCGAGGUGUGUAGGGGCAUCGGUGAGCUCAGCAGACUGUGUUCCAAGUCACAUUAAAGAGGCAGAUUUAUUGCAAGCCUAUCUCCUAGAGACAGAAUGUAUUUUCCAAAAAUGGGCAACACACUGUGUCCCAUCUCACAUGCUGUUCUUAUAAUAUAACUUUGAUACUACAUUCUUAUUUAGAAAUGGAAGCCCAUGUUUCCUCCCUUUGAUGCUGGGCAGAAUUGUGACUACAAUGAAAAUAAUGCUAUAUGGCUUUUGAGGCUAGGUCCUAAAAGGUAAUGCAAUAUACGUACAGUUCUCUUGGAAUAUUUAAUAUUGAAAUCCGACCACCACGCUGUAAAGAAGACUGCAGCCCAUGGAGAAGUCCACACAGCCAGAAACUGAGGCCCAAGGCUCACAUCCCCAGCUGAGCUCCUGGCCUACAGCCAGCCCCAAGGUGCCGUCAUGUGAAUGAGACAUUUUGAAAGUGGAUCCCCCAGGCCCAGGCAAGCCAUUCCUGACAAUAAAAUGUGGAACAGAGAUGUGAUUCCUUUUUAAGACCUCCCCAAAUAACAGAUUCCUAAGCAAAAAUAAAGGACUGUUGUUGUUUUAAGCCA